UCGAACGAUGAAGCUGGAGCUUGCUCUGGUGGAUUAGUGGCGAACGGGUGAGUAACACGUGAGUAACCUGCCCUUGACUCUGGGAUAAGCGUUGGAAACGACGUCUAAUACCGGAUACGAGCUUCAGCCGCAUGGCUAGGAGCUGGAAAGAAUUUCGGUCAAGGAUGGACUCGCGGCCUAUCAGCUUGUUGGUGAGGUAAUGGCUCACCAAGGCGACGACGGGUAGCCGGCCUGAGAGGGUGACCGGCCACACUGGGACUGAGACACGGCCCAGACUCCUACGGGAGGCAGCAGUGGGGAAUAUUGCACAAUGGGCGCAAGCCUGAUGCAGCAACGCCGCGUGAGGGACGACGGCCUUCGGGUUGUAAACCUCUUUUAGCAGGGAAGAAGCGCAAGUGACGGUACCUGCAGAAAAAGCACCGGCUAACUACGUGCCAGCAGCCGCGGUAAUACGUAGGGUGCAAGCGUUGUCCGGAAUUAUUGGGCGUAAAGAGCUCGUAGGCGGUUUGUCGCGUCUGCUGUGAAAACGCGAGGCUCAACCUCGCGCCUGCAGUGGGUACGGGCAAACUAGAGUGCGGUAGGGGAGAUUGGAAUUCCUGGUGUAGCGGUGGAA
rnacentral:rRNA from 1 species